GCAGACACAUUCCAGACCCUCCCUCCCAGACCCUCCCACCUCCUGGACAGCAUCCAUUGUGAAGCUGCAUUCUUAGUGAGCUGUCCAGGAGGUGGGAGGGUCUGGGAGGGAGGGUCUGCUACUGAUUGG